rnacentral:rRNA from 1 species
UACGUAGGCAGCGAGCGUUGUUCGGAAUUACUGGGCGUAAAGAGUGUGUAGGCGGUGCUCUAAGUUCGGUGUGAAAUCUCCUGGCUCAACUGGGGAGGGUGCGCCGGAAACUGGAGUGCUUGAGCGUGGGAGAGGAAAGCGGAAUUCCUGGUGUAGCAGUGAAAUUCGUAGAUAUUGGGAAGAACACCGGUGGCGAAGGCGGCGACCUGGUCCGAUACUGACGCUGAGGCGCGAAAGCGUGGGGAGCGAACAGG